CACAUGCAAGUCUCAGCACACCCGUGAAAACGCCCUUUUAACYACUCAGACAAAGGAGCUGGUAUCAGGCACAGAAUUCUGCCCACAACACCUAGUACCACCACACCCCUAAGGGUAUUCAGCAGUGAUAAAGAUUGAUAAUAAGCGCCAGCUUGAAUCAGUUAGAGAUAGUAGAGCCGGCCAACACGGUGCCAGCCGCCGCGGCUAGACCACCGGGCUCAAGUUGAUAAAGAUCGGCGUUAAGCGUGGUUAAAGUUAUACUAAAUUAGAGUUAAAUUUUAACUUAGCUGUGAAAAGCUUACAACCUAGAAAACCAAAAACGAAAGUUACUCUAAUAAGCACUUGAAUACACGACAGCUUGGGCACAAACUGAGAUUAGAUACCCCACUAUG
rnacentral:rRNA from 1 species